rnacentral:tRNA from 1 species
AAAAUCCGUCGAACUUUAGAA